GAAAUGCGAUAAGUAAUGUGAAUUGCAGAAUUCAGUGAAUCAUCGAAUCUUUGAACGCACCUUGCGCUCCUUGGUAUUCCGAGGAGCAUGCCUGUUUGAGUGUCAUGAAAUCUUCAACCUAAAAGCCUUUGCGGGUUUGUUAGGAUUGGACUUGGAGGCUUGUCGGCUCAUGAGUCGGCUCCUCUUAAAUGCAUUAGCUUGAUUCCUUGCGGAUCGGCUGUCGGUGUGAUAAUUGUCAACGCCGCGACCGUGAAGCGUUUGGCGAGCUUCUAACCGUCUCGUUAGAGACAGAUUAUUGACCUCUGACCUCAAAUCAGGUAGGACUACCCGCUGAACUUAA
rnacentral:rRNA from 1 species